ACACUCAGGGUGAGAGGGAGAUUCUGAAGCUUUGUGUUUCUUGCUAGCUAGUCAAAGGAUAGAAAAAUAAUACAUGCCAAAAGAAAUUUGAGGAACAAAUUCAGCCCUGAGACAGGUCACGGAAACAGCCCUCCAGUCUUCCUCAAGAAAUGUAGACUGAAUCAGCAUUUACCCACCCCUGGAAAAACGCAGGAGCUGCGCAUUCCUGGGAUCUCAGCAGGGCUUUUGGGAAGAGCAGAACUGGGCUGGAGUCACGGUUUCUGGGCUGACUCUAGAUUUUCCCCGGCUUUUGCCACCUGUGAUGGCUGGAGAGUAUCUGAAGAUGACAGGAGCUGGGAAUAUGGUAGUGAAAAAAACACACACAAAAUCCAUGCCCUCCGGAAGCUUCAAAUGGAGGGAGAUAAAUGCCAGUGUCCUUAGCUUGUGAAGAUUGGAUGAUGGCCGGGGCCCUCAGACCCCUUGGCCCCUCCUUAACUGCAGGUCUUCAAAAGCCCAACACCUGUUCGUCAUUUCUGUGGCUUCCCAGGGAGUCUUACUCUUCUGCUUCAAGCUGCUGGGUUUGACUCUGAGCAGUUUCUGUGCAGCCACAAAGAUUCUUAUGUGAGACACACUGCUGCUUCAGAGUGCUCCAACCCAUCUCCCCUGAUUAAACACUAACCAGGGCUGCCACAGCAAAGUGGCUCAAAUGGGUGACGUCAACAACAGAUUUACUUUCUCAUAGUUCUGGAGGCAGGUGUCUAGGAUCAAGGUGGUGGCAAGGCUAUUCCUUCUGUUGCCUCCCUCCUUGCCUUGUGGAUGACCGUCUUCUCCGCGUCUUUCCAAGAUCUCUCCUCUGUGCAUGUCAGUGUCCUUGCUUCCUCUUCUUAUGAAGACACCGGUCAUGUUGGAAUGCAACAGAAGAGAGUGCACGGCUUCUGAGGUUGCAGCUUUUGGGAGAAGCCAUCUACCAUUGAUGACAGACAUGCCGUGUGGAAACCAAACCAGCCAUGUGGAGAGGCUACCUGGACAGAGGCACAGGGCCAGCAGCAGCUGUGGAGACAGACAUGUGAGCAAAGAAAUCAUCUUUGAUGUACAGCCAAGUUGAGCCUUCAGAUGACUCCGAUUUCAGCCACCUUUGGACUGCAACCACAUGAAAGACUCUAAAUAGAAGCCUCCCAGCUGAUCCCGGUUAACCCACAGUGCUGAAGGGGAUAAUAAUAAAUUGUUGUUUUAAGCCACUAA
ensembl:lncRNA LINC01823 long intergenic non-protein coding RNA 1823